CACCACAGUGUGUUACUACAAACACUGUGAAGCUGCAGGAAACCACAAAAUGCCAAUUGAAAAAAGAGUGUCAGGGGACCUUACAGGAGAAAGAGGUGCAGGGGACGGUUAAAAUGUGAUAUUGUGCACGAUCUAAUAAAAACCAAGAUCCAUCUACCGGGCUGUGCUGGUAACUCUGGGUAAUGCCAGAGACUCCAGAAGCCUUCUGUGGUGCCCAUGCAAUGGCGUGUGCACGGGCAUCUGUUUGGAGUGAACCCAACUGCUCCUCAUAAGAAGCUGGGGGACAGAAAGAGGAAUUGCAUGGUCAAGAAUUAAGUGUCCUUUCCUGAACUGAAUACUGACAAAAGGAUUUGGCAGCCUUACUGCACUUUGAAAAAGACACAUCACCGCACCGAAAUCUCUGCAACAAGUGUGUAACCUUUGGAGAAGACAUAUGCUAUCAUCACUCUUCCUCUCCACCCACCGAGCUACAGCUGAGGCGAUAUGUGAUCAGAUGAUUCAGAGAAGAACCUCAGGGCCGGACUGCCUGAAAUACCCAGGCAUCUUUUUAGUUGGAAAUGGUGUCAGUGCUUUCUCCAUGCUCCGACAGGCAGCACGUCACAGAGUGAAAUGCCAGGGAAGCACAGACUUCUGCUUGGGGUCAUCUAAGGAAUAAAGGGGAACAACAUGCGCCAUACACAACUUGAGGAUGCUACUGGAUAGAGAAGAUCAGAAGAAAAAAAUCAACUGUUCACAAAGCUCAGCACAUUACCAUUAUCACAGCUUGUGUAAGAGCAAGGAGAACGUCUGCCUCCUGAAGUCAGCACCUGGGAGGGAUGGAGUCCCCUCGGUGAAAGGCACAUAAUGAAGUUAUGCUGCAAAGCAAAAAUCAUCUGAGAGCAGAAAGUAGGACAAUCUUGUAAAUAUAAAGUUGUGAGCCUCCAAGGAGAGCCACACAGACAUCCACUGUAGACGAGGCAGAGAGCUCUGGAAGACAUCCUUGGAAAUGUCAGCCUGAAAAACAGACUGGAUUUUGAGAGUAAGAGUGAAAAAACCCAGAAGUUUAAGUGAUCAGCUCCUCUCCAGUGCUAAGCAGAUUCUCUGGCUGCUUGAGAAUUUCAGAAACCACUGAUUUUCCACUGGAAAGAAGGAAGAAAAAAGGAAACAGAAGUUCCUCACUUGCUGAUCGUUUUGGGGAAAGAUCAAAGAGUUUUGCAGGCAGGUUCUGGCCAGCACCAGCAGCAGCAUCGCGUUGCUUGAAUCCCAAGGAAGUGAAGGUGCCAUUGUGUUCAUGCCACUGAUACAAGUCCAGACAUCAGUCCUGAUCUGCCUCUCUGCGUUGGAUCUAUGUGUGAAGACAGCUGACAGGAGCUUCCAGCAACACUGAAAGGCAAUACACGGCAAAUUUAUGCACUCAGCCUCACAGCGAUGCAGCGCACAAGUAACCUGUGUGAAACGGCUGCCAUUAGGCAUCACCGAGUCGGAGAAUCUAGCAGGAAGGAUUAGAACUGCAUAGGACUGGUGAGAACAUCUGUGGUUAUACAUGAGCAGACAAAAAUAAGCAUUA